UGGUGUUCAGAGCAAAAUGAUGCUGGA
rnacentral:piRNA from 1 species